rnacentral:rRNA from 1 species
UUCGCCAGGGAACAACGAGCCCCAGCUUAAAACCCAAAGGACUUGGCGGUGCUUUAGACCCCCCUAGAGGAGCCUGUUCUAGAACCGAUUCCCCCCGUUCAACCUCACCCUCUCUUGUUUUCCCCGCCUAUAUACCGCCGUCGUCAGCUUACCCCUUGCCGGCCAAACAGUAAGCAAAAUUGGCAAAGCCCAAAACGUCAGGUCGAGGUGUAGCGUACGAGAGGGGAAGAAAUGGGCUACAUUUACUGAACCAGUAAACACGAAUGUUGCACUGAAACGAGCAUCUGAAGGAGGAUUUAGCAGUAAGAGGGCAGCAGAGCGUCCCCCUGAAAACGGCCCUGAAGCGAGCACACACCGCCCGUCACUCUCCCCGAAAACCGCAGCACAUAAAUAAUAUAACCAAGCCCAAAACAAAGGGGAGGCAAGUCGUAACAAGGUAAGUGUACCGGAAGGUGCACUUGGAAAAACC